ensembl:lncRNA
AUUUAUUUCACUCCUCUCCACAGCAAUAUAUGCCGCAGAUGACCGUUUGCGUCGUGUGAAGAUACUGUGGCUUCUAUCACAAGGCAGUAUUAUGUCUCGGAGGUGUGGAUGGUGGUUUAUCUUCUCCAGAGGUUUGUCUGGUGAAAUUGCAUGUGAUGUUUAGCAGUAGAGCCAUUUCGCUGUUCGGCAGCUGCCGCGAUGGAAAGUGCAAACGCAGAGCAACAGCGACCUCGUUGGCGCCGGUGGAGGAGGAGGACUCUGCGGGUUUCCCGUAGGCUGCUCUGCUGCUCAUGUUGGCGCGGUGAGGAGAGGGAUCCUCUGCAGCAGCAGGAAAGGAAGAUCAAUGGGGGCUCUCGGCAUCCACACUUGGAUCAGCGGGGAUCAGGUGAGAGGGAGGCUAUCCAGAUUACGGUAGAGGACCUGGGGAUAGUUAACACCGGCUUCAGCCUGUGCGAGGAGGACACCCCGACCUCGGGCAACAGCACGGCCCGCUCAGCUAGCUCCGUGUCCGCCUGCCUGAGGGCUCUGAAAAAGAAACGACUGGGGCCUCUGUUUUCACUCCCUAUGGACAUGCAGGGAAAACUGGCCAUCACUUCUACCAGUGGAGAAGGUGGUGAUGAAGAGGACGACGACCCGCUGGUGUUUGAGAGUGGCACUGAUGUCACGCCAGCUCCUGGAAGCCUCCUAUCACCGCCCGUCAUUAAUCUGAUCCCACCCACUCCAUCCGAUGUCGUUGACGACGAUCAGUUCUUUGACGUUAAUUUGGAAGACAUUGUGGCAAACGAUGCUGUCAGCGGUGGAAGCUCUGGUGCUGGUGACCACGAGCGCUACGAGGAAUCGAUGAAGGGUGCCGAGGCAAAGGUGUCAACCGUGGAAUUUCCACCGGCAGAGAGUAAGGUCAGUGCUGAUGAUUCAGCUGGGCUUGAAGAGGCCCCACGUGACGGGUCUGGAGAAGAAGAAGAGGCAGAGACAACCAAAGAUGGGGACGAGGAGAAAACAAAGCCAAGGCUCUUACGUUGUGCGUACCAGGUGGCUCCUCUCCCUAAGUACACUCAGAAAAAUGAACUGAGCAACACAGAUGUGAACUGCUCCGACAUGCCGAAAGCUGAACUCUGCCUGCUUCCUGCCAACAUGGACACAUUUACUCACCAAAGGAGGCUCAUAACGCGCUCCUGCAGUCUUGAAGACACACCGACCAGGAGCGCCACUUUCCACGCUUUGACCCAGACCACAGACCACCAGGAAGAUGAGAGGUCGCUCCAACAGCGCCGCAUAACCGUUGCAUCAUAUAUGCCUCAGUCUCAGGAUCAGAAUGGAAACUUCCCUGAGAAGGACGUCGACAGGCAAGUGGCCAAAUGUCUUGGGGAACUGAGCACAGAUGAAGUCUGCCGCUGGUUUACCAAUAUCGGACUGCAGAAAUGUCUUCCUUUCAUCCGAGAUGUAAACCUGUGUGGAGCAGACGUAGCAUCGGUGGAUGUGAACACUCUGGACGUCCUGCACAUCACCACCCUGGAGGAGAGGGAGAAGCUGCUGUCUGCCGUUUAUAAGGAGCUGCACCCUUCCAGCCCAAUCACCCAGAGACUCGACUCUCUGCUCGAUUCGUUGGGCCCGAACAGUGUGGAGACAUUCACCGCGACAUUAGUGUCAAUGAGCAAAUCUAAGUCCUCUCCACAUGUGAGCUGCCUGAGCAUGAAUCGGCGUUCCCUAAAGCGCAGAAACACCAGCCAAACCCCCUUGGCACAGAGGAAUUCUCAGCUGAUCGAGAUAGCAAUUAAUGCAUCAGAGCGGAUAGUUCAUCUCCGAACCCCAAAGGAAACAACGGUGGGGAAAAUCAUGGAUUCAUGCAUCAAAAUGUUGGGAAUGACAGAAGACAGGAGCCUUUUCAUACUGAGAGAAAAGCAAGGUUCAUCGGAAGACCUCCCCCCAGAUCAGCUGAUCGCCAGCCUACUGACAUCGACAUCAGAGGACAGGCAGUUGGAGCUGCACUUGUGUAAAACGGACGGGUCAUCUGGAACCAUAGCAAAACAAAAUCCAGGAGUCCACAGCUCUAAUGAGAAUAACAACAUCAACAAAAAUGCCCUGGUGAACCGGCCAGCCAAAGAAGAGAGGAUCAAAGAACUAAACCAGCAGGUGGAAUCGCUCCAAAAUGUCAUCCUUCAGGUCCAGGAGCUCCACCACGGCCUGGUGGCAUUUUGCUCAGAGAUAAAGAACAUGGAUGGAGACGUGGAUGUGGACAGGCUUAGCUCCGCUGAGCUGAAGGAGAGGUCGCAGUUGGUUAAAAGCCGCCUGAAUGACAAGAGGCGGAGCCUGCAGACCCUCAGAGACAACAUUAACGACUCCACUGCUCACAAAAAGAAACAGUUGGACGUACGUCUCUUGGAAAAGAUGAAACUGAACUGCCAGGUGUUUAAGGAGGAAAUUUCCAUGGUACAUCUCAAUCGGCAGAUGGCACACCUCCAAAAUGCUUUGCAAGAAAGCUACGUUAAGGUACUGCAGAAAACCGCUGGACCAUGGAAUCGCUUUCCCCUCUGCAGACUUGAACCAACAAGCUGACGAUCUGGAGCCUUGCCAAUGCAACUUGAAUCAAUAGCCUAUGAAACUCAGUGGCAUCAAUAUGUGGGAAAGCUGUGUGAUCACAGUCAAAGAAUGCUUUGGUUGAUAAAAAUAAACAAUACGAAACUGAGAUUAGGAACUGAAAUGACGCUAGCUAUUGAUAGUAUGCAUGGUAUCAUUUACUGAAAUCAGCUUUUGCUGAGAAAUUGGACCUCUCCAUUUUUGGACAAUAAUGCCUUUGCCUAUUUUCCCCUGUCUAUAACCAAGAACUUGUGCAAUAUACUCGGUAUAACUGCCCUUUUUCUAACCAAUGACAGCCAGACUGUGUAGACCAGUGAGGGUGAAUAAAUCGCAUAUGAAGUCCAUAUAUUUGUCAUUUAGCAGCAGAAUCGGCACAAACUAGGACAGGUGGCAACAGCUCCCUGAUGAGGUAGGUCAUCAUUUGACACCAUUAUGUCCACGCUCUUUGAUCUUCUCUCCACUGUUCUCCUGAGUGACAACACAAUGCCCCGUUCAGUCCUCUCUGUUUCGUUAAGUUGUGCAGUUGAGAGUGGCUAUACAAGGCUGAGGAAUUUUCUUUGGAUGAGCAUGCACUUUUUCUGAGAAAAUGAUGUUUAGCGCUGACAUCCGAGAGCCUGUGACCAUACCAACAAUGGAAUGUGUGUGACAAAAGCCACUGGGAGAGUGCAAUGGAGAACUGGGCCGGCAUGUGUAAAACUAUCUCCAUCUAUCCCCGGAGGAGCCUACUUCUUUUUUAAUGUGGCUCUUUUAUCCCGUUGGAGAAGCCCUAACGAGGUGCCAUGAAAGGACACACGCGGCUUCGGCUUUGAAAGGUGCCCCGUGUCACGUUGCCGCCCCGGGGCCACGCUUUUUUAGGUGCUGAGUUUGUGGGAAAAGCAGCAGCGCUAAUGUUUAUCAUAUGACCUAAUCAGAGUUAACACACAGGUCAGAGCCGAGGAGCAGCCUGGGAACUGAUGGAGCUGCUACUCUAAUAAGGAGCAGACCGCCCCGUGUUUGGUCUCGUAGGCUGCCCCGCAUUACAGAAAAUGAGGAAAUAUUUCAUCAUUGGCAGUCUAAUCUACAGGAUCUAUUGCAACUGGAGAGCAUCAAUAAAGCAGCCAAGAGGGAAGAUAAACAGAGGGCGAGAGUGAAGGGAGGAGGGGAAGGACAACAAAUGACGGAAAUGAUUUUAAAUAAGCGGUUUAGCUCGGACAAUUCCAAAACCUCAGAAUGAGUAUUAAAGAGAGGAACAUGAAAGAAUUACUGUCAUGUCCAAACUUUAGUAUGAGUUGUCUGAUAGGGGAGUUUGAGUACUGAGACAAAUUGGCCAACUCUUUGUCAUUUGCCCCUCUUUGCCCCUGAGUUUAAGAAAUGGAUUGCAUGGCUCCGGUUCUUUGUGGUUGACCAAUAUGAUCAGAUCCUCUUCCGUUGCUCUAAACCAACGUUGAUUGUGGUAAAGAUCUCCGUUGUCAAAGCAGCCAGGGUGCCGGGAAGGACGGCACUGGAUUUAGAUUUGCCAACACGUGGAUAUAAAUGAGAUGCUAUUCCUUUUGAACAAAAGUGCUUUUACAGCUUAUGUUGUAGCUUCCUAUGAUCGAGGAAAAUUACUUUAUAUAUGAAUCUUUUUUUACUCGUAGAGACAACAUUUUUUCCUGGGCUGACCUUUGUGAUCUGCGUGAGCCCUGUUUAAUUGCCUACCAGCAGCAAAUUGGUUGUGUCUUGUGUGUAUAUGUGCCCUGUGCCUGGCCAAGGUAGGUUAGGAUUUGAUCAAAUCUUGUGGAUAAACAAGAAGAAUAUGAAGAGAAAAUUCCAUGGCCUCUUGGCGUGUGUCCAACAUUGAGGCACACUAAAAGGGAAAAAGAUGCGUGUUAGAGUGUGCCUCUCAAGGGGAUUCGGCUGUGUUUCCGUGGAUAUAUCCUGUCUGGCCCACUUGUCUGAGGAGACCGAAGCCUUAGCUUUGACCCCUGACCCUGGCAAGGCGGCAUCUAUUGCUGCGAGGCAUUCACAUGCCGUUCAGGGGGAAGGGGGGAGUAUGCCAAGAGGCUGGAUAAGGGGACAUUGGAAUUCAGUGGUCAGACUCACAAGUUAUUUCUGAUCCCUCCAAGCUACUUGUGGUGGUGUGAUCUCUUCCCAAGCUAAUCAUUGCAUCUUGGUGGUCUUUUGGCUUUGAUGUCGCCUCAUUACUAUCUUUCGAGGACCCCCAUGUAGUAGCAUCUGUAAUAUUUUCCCAGGAAGUAAUGUUACAAAUUCUUCUCAUGGAAAUUAUAGUGUAAUAUUUAAGAGGCACAAAAUCACGCUAUGUCUCCAAGUGUUGAAGAUUUGAUGACUACUUUGGGUAGCGCUUAAGAAAACAAAAUCAAGAGGUUGCAAUCUCUCUUUUUCUUCCAUUUAGAGUAACUUAAAGGACCAGUUCAACAAUUUGAAAAAUACACAGUUGUGUAGAGUUUGACGAAGGGUGAAAACACAAGGCAUCAGCAAGCCCGUUCAAAAGCUAAACAUGUGCCUACCUUCACCUUUAACGUAAACAUGUUACAUACUUUUUGGGCAAUCCAUACCAAUUGAAAAUGAGAAGUUGAUGUUUUACAGAGGGCUUCAUGUCAAGCACUCAGUAAUGACAAGCCACAGCGCUCAGCCUAGAAAGAGCCCAACACACACGGUGAUUCAUCGUAAAAUCACAACAUCAACCUUUUACACGUUUUGUACUAAAUGAACAAAAGAGUAAGUCCAUGACUACGUUUUCAAAUGAGGCACAAAUUACACAUCAUCCGUCUGAAUCAACGUCUUUGCAAUUGUGACAGCCGAUUUAUUUACUGUUCCGCCCUUAAAAAAUCUCCUGUAGUCAAUAAGACAUUAGUUAUGCUUCACAUUUUCCCCUCGCUGUGUGCUCGCUGCACACUAAAGAACUACUGUUUCAUGUUAACUUAAUCCUCCCCUGACAGCAGAGAAAUGAAGAGGUGCACAGUAUUUCCCAAAAUGCUGAAGUAUUUAUACGGGAUACAAUGGAAAUACUACUUCUAGUGCCACACUUUUAACCAUUGGUAUUUAAAGAGUCUGCGUCUUUGAAUUUGUGAAUGUGUCUUUGCCGUUUCUACAUUCAGGAGAAAGUUCAGAGAAAAAGUUUGGCCAUUGGUAGCCUGAGCCAGCUGGUGUCCCCGCAGUCUCCUGCCAUGCUGCUGGUUGUGCAGGAGAACCGAAACCCCGAUGGCCAGUACGGCUUCUCGUGUUGCUACAGGGAAGGCAGCGGACUACUGGUGGUCAAGGUGGAAAACUGCCAACUCUGUGUUGACGACAGGCUGGUGGAGGUGAAUGGUGUGCCGGUGGUUAACUCUACACAGGAAGAGCUGACCACCAUCUUACUGGAGGGACCCAGCGCCAAUAUUGUUGUCCUUCGCCAGCCCCCGCUCCCCCCCACCUCCGUAGUCCUGCAGCGCAUCAUCACCUCUGAUCCCGAGCAACAGCUCUCUCUUGCCGACUUAGACCGGGGUGUGGUUCCAGUUGAAACAACUCCUCGACGGAAGGUGGUGGCCAUCUGAUGAUACGACAGAGAGAGAAAAAGACCAGCGCAGAGACUUGAGGGUUAAUGAUAUCUGACUGUGGAGCCAUGCAGCGAAAUGCCCUCUUUUGUUAGUUAUUUAACUCUAAAUAUAAAUAUAUGUUAUUGAAAAUGUCAAUGUGUUGAAAUGAUAGACGUUUAGUUAGGAACAUCCAAUAGUAAUAUAGCUGUGUUGUUAUGUGACGUUUUCCUCGACUAAGCCUCAACACAUGUACACAGCGUUGUGCUUGGCAGAUAGAACAGUUAUAUUUGAUCCAUAUUGUUGCAAUGUAUACGGAGAACCAUGCCUGUGAAAAAAACUUAUUUCCAGAAAAACACAUGAAACCGAACCACAUUGACUUCUUUCUAUUUGCAUCUCCUCUUGUGCUACAUCAUAUUUUGUGCCAUGAGGGAAAAUGAAUAGUACAGGAAAGACAAGGAGGCAGAGCCUGAUAAGGACAAUGCAUGCUUCAUCUUGUACAACUAUAAUUGAAAAUAUGUGAAUCCUGUCUAUAGUUACUGUAACAUAUCGUGUAAAGAUACAUCCAAUAGCUUUGUAUCCUGUUUCUCUUAUUAGAAUAGAGACUUGUACGGCUACAACAGUAUUCGGAGCAAAAACAUGAGUCACGUCCCUUUUUUUGGAUGUUGUAAUGUAAUCCACUGUGCUGCAGGAAUAAACCCUUGGGCCCGGAAAUG